rnacentral:rRNA from 1 species
AUUGAACGCUGGCGGCAGGCUUAACACACGCAAGUCGAGCGGGGUGAUGGUGCUUGCACUAUCACUUAGCGGCGGACGGGUGAGUAAUGCUUAGGAAUCUGCCUAUUAGUGGGGGACAACAUCUCGAAGGGGAUGCUAAUACCGCAUACGUCCUACGGGAGAAAGCAGGGGAUCACUUGUGACCUUGCGCUAAUAGAUGAGCCUAAGUCGGAUGAGCUAGUUGGUGGGGUAAAGGCCUACCAAGGCGACGAUCUGUAGCGGGUCUGAGAGGAUGAUCCGCCACACUGGGACUGAGACACGGCCCAGACUCCUACGGGAGGCAGCAGUGGGGAAUAUUGGACAAUGGGGGGAACCCUGAUCCAGCCAUGCCGCGUGUGUGAAGAAGGCCUUAUGGUUGUAAAGCACUUUAAGCGAGGAGGAGGCUCUUUUGGUUAAUACCCAAGAUGAGUGGACGUUACUCGCAGAAUAAGCACCGGCUAACUCUGUGCCAGCAGCCGCCGUAA